rnacentral:rRNA from 1 species
UCCUACGGGGCGCAGCAGUGGGGAAUAUUGCACAAUGGGGGAAACCCUGAUGCAGCAACGCCGCGUGAGUGAUGACGGCCUUCUGGUUGUAAAGCUCGAUCAGCAGGGAAGAAAAUGACGGUACCUGAGUAAGAAGCCCCGGCUAACUACGUGCCAGCAGCCGCGGUAAUACGUAGGGGGCAAGCGUUAUCCGGAUUUACUGGGUGUAAAGGGAGCGUAGACGGCAGUGCAAGUCUGGAGUGAAAGGCGGGGGCUCAACCCCCG